rnacentral:rRNA from 1 species
AUCGAUGGGAGCUUGCUCCCUGAGAUUAGCGGCGGACGGGUGAGUAACACGUGGGCAACCUGCCUAUAAGACUGGGAUAACUUCGGGAAACCGGAGCUAAUACCGGAUACGUUCUUUUCUCGCAUGAGAGAAGAUGGAAAGACGGUUUCGGCUGUCACUUAUAGAUGGGCCCGCGGCGCAUUAGCUAGUUGGUGAGGUAAUGGCUCACCAAGGCGACGAUGCGUAGCCGACCUGAGAGGGUGAUCGGCCACACUGGGACUGAGACACGGCCCAGACUCCUACGGGAGGCAGCAGUAGGGAAUCUUCCGCAAUGGACGAAAGUCUGACGGAGCAACGCCGCGUGAACGAAGAAGGCCUUCGGGUCGUAAAGUUCUGUUGUUAGGGAAGAACAAGUACCAGAGUAACUGCUGGUACCUUGACGGUACCUAACCAGAAAGCCACGGCUAACUACGUGCCAGCAGCCGCGGUAAUACGUAGGUGGCAAGCGUUGUCCGGAAUUAUUGGGCGUAAAGCGCGCGCAGGUGGUUCUUUAAGUCUGAUGUGAAAGCCCACGGCUCAACCGUGGAGGGUCAUUGGAAACUGGGGAACUUGAGUGCAGAAGAGGAAAGUGGAAUUCCAAGUGUAGCGGUGAAAUGCGUAGAGAUUUGGAGGAACACCAGUGGCGAAGGCGACUUUCUGGUCUGUAACU